GCUAUUUUGAAAUGACAGUGGGUGAUGUCAUAGAGGGUGACUGAGAUCAAGGGCUGGCCGGGCAGAAAAUCCUCUCUGGAUGACACUGGUCUUGAGACCUCAAUUCUAUCUCCUCUGUAAGGAACACUAAAAAGAAGCAAGUUGUAGUGUUCUCCAUUCUCUGAGCAUCUAUAAUGACAGGUCCUGCCUACUUUAACUUCAUAUGCUUUAUUUACAUGCCAUAGAUAUUUUUAAGGAUAAUGAAUAAAACAUCUAAAGACCCAGAUGUUUGAAAAGUAGGUGCUUGUCUCCAUGGACAGUCAUCCCAAAUGAAGGCACCAGCAGGACAGGAGGGAAGAAGUAAAGAGGGACAUUAUUGCUGCAGUCCAACAUCCUCCCAGGCCCUCCAGGCAGUUCAGACUUCAGACACCCAUGUCCUGUCAUCAGUCAACUUCAGGAAAUUUUUCAAAAUUGCUGCCCAAUCUGCAAGGACAGAAGAAUACAGAAUUGUUUGUUGGUUGCUCCAGAUCUUCUCUGCUCCGUUGAGAGAGGUCAGAAAGAAGAAUUCAGAGACCGACAGCAGCUGAGCUUGGCUGACCUGCUCACCGGGUGUGUGAUUUCAGAGCAACUCUCUAAGGGAAGGGAGGAGGACAGAGCAAUAAAUUAGUCAAACGAACUUUCCUACAGGACCUGCUCCAUCCUCCUUGCUCAGCCCCUUCUUCACAUACUCAGGUGGAUGAAUACUACCAAUCUAAACUUUGUUGAAUGCUUACUAUGGUAUAAAACCUAUUUGCCUGUAAUACCUCAUUUAAUUUCCACAACAGCCUGUAUUUAUAUUACAUCAAUUUUCAGAGAAGUAAAUUGAGGCAGCAUUUGGCCCAAGACCACAUGGGUUGUAAGUGGUAAACUUGCUGUUGUAAGAGACAGGCUGAUUUAGAAUUUGAGUUUUUAACGACUGCCCUAAAUCAAGUAAGAGAGAACAUGAAGAGAGGAGGAACUGCAUGUUUGGUUAAAGGUUUUUUAAAAAAAUUAAUCUGUUUGUUCUUAAUGUAGUUAAAUCUGUCUAUAUUCUAGGUCCAUUUAGUGAUCUUUACCACACUAGACUGUACUCUUUCUGCACAAGAGCUGUUCUUCUUUCUUCUCAACUAUUAGCCUGGCCAGUGAUAGGUACUGAGCCCCCUGGAUGCUGAAAGAAUGAAAACAGCACAGGAGAAGUCAAAGGAAUUCUGUGUAGAGAAGUCAUAGAAACAUAGUAGAAGC
rnacentral:lncRNA from 1 species